AGAAUCAACGCUGGCGGCGUGCCUAACACAUGCAAGUCGAACGAGAAAGUGGGAGCAAUCCCACGAGUAAAGUGGCGCACGGGUGAGUAACACGUGACUAACCUACCCUUGAGUGGGGGAUAACCUAGUGAAACCUGGGCUAAUACCGCAUAAUACCUACGGGUCAAAGGAGCAAUUCGCUUAAGGAGGGGGUCGCGGCAGAUUAGUUAGUUGGCGGGGUAAUGGCCCACCAAGACAGUGAUCUGUAUCCGGCCUGAGAGGGGCGCGACGGAACGACGACCUAGGAACGUGAAACACGGUCCAGACUCCUACGGGAGGCAGCAGUGGGGAAUUUUGCGCAAUGGGGGAAACCCUGACGCAGCAACGCCGCGUGGAGGAUGAAGCCCCUUGGGGCGUAAACUCCUUUCGAUCGGGAAGAUAAUGACGGUACCGGAAGAAGAAGCCCCGGCUAACUUCGUGCCAGCAGCCGC
rnacentral:rRNA from 1 species